rnacentral:rRNA from 1 species
UACGGAGGGUGCAAGCGUUAUCCGGAUUCACUGGGUUUAAAGGGUGCGUAGGUGGGUUGGUAAGUCAGUGGUGAAAUCUCCGAGCUUAACUUGGAAACUGCCAUUGAUACUAUCAGUCUUGAAUAUUGUGGAGGUCAGCGGAAUAUGUCAUGUAGCGGUGAAAUGCUUAGAUAUGACAUAGAACACCAAUUGCGAAGGCAGCUGGCUACACAUCUAUUGACACUGAGGCACGAAAGCGUGGGGAUCAAACAGGAUUAGAUACCCUGGUAGUCCACGCCCUAAACUAUGGAUACUCGACAUUUGCGAUACACAGUAAGUGUCUGAGCGAAAGCAUUAAGUAUCCCACCUGGGAAGUACGAUCGCAAGAUUGAA